rnacentral:misc_RNA from 1 species
GAUGAAGAACGUAGCGAAAUGCGAUAAGUAAUGCGAAUUGCAGAAUUCAGUGAGUCAUCGAAUCUUUGAACGCACAUUGCGCCCUGUGGUAUUCCGCAGGGCAGGCCUGUUCGAGCGUCAUUUCAACCCUCAAGCUCUGCUUGGUGUUGGGCCCUGCCCGCUGCGGCCGGCCCUAAAGACAGUGGCGGUGCCGCCUGGCCCUGAGCGUAGUACAUCUCUCGCUCCAGUGCCCGGUGGUAGCCUGCCAGAACCCCAACUCUCGUGGUUGACCUCGGAUCAGGUAGGGAUACCCGCUGAACUUAAGCAUAUCAAUAAGCGGAGGA